UACGUAGGGUGCAAGCGUUAAUCGGAAUUACUGGGCGUAAAGCGUGCGCAGGCGGUUGUGCAAGACCGAUGUGAAAUCCCCGGGCGUUAACCUGGGAAUGGCAUUGGUGACUGCACGGCUAGAGUGUGUCAGAGGGGGGUAGAAUUCCACGUGUAGCAGUGAAAUGCGUAGAGAUGUGGACGGAAUACCGAUGGCGAAGGCAGCCCCCUGGGAUAACACUGACGCUCAUGCACGAAAGCGUGGGGAGCAAACAGG
rnacentral:rRNA from 1 species